UUCACCCAGCUGCCCCGUAUAAAAAUACGUCUAUCUUCUCCGGAUACCAUGUUUGCCAAUGCAUUGUGCACAACAAAACCAUCUGUCGAUCAUGUGAAAAAGGGGAGGAAAUGCAGUGAAAUAGGGCAUUUCUGUUCA
ensembl:ncRNA C26E1.4 ncRNA